rnacentral:rRNA from 1 species
GACGAACGCUGGCGGCGUGCUUAACACAUGCAAGUCGAACGGAAAGGCCCUGCUUUUGUGGGGUGCUCGAGUGGCGAACGGGUGAGUAACACGUGAGUAGCCUGCCCUUGACUUUGGGAUAACUUCAGGAAACUGGGGCUAAUACCGGAUAGGAGCUCCUGAUGCAUGGGGGGGGUUGGAAAGUUUCGGCCGUUGGGGAUGGACUCGCGGCUUAUCAGCUUGUUGGGUGGGUAGUGGCUUACCAAGGCUUUGACGGGUAGCCGGCCUGAGAGGGUGACCGGGCACAUUGGGCCUGAGAUACGGCCCAGAGGCCUACGGGAGGCAGCAGUGGGGAAUAUUGCACAAUGGGCGGAAGCCUGAUGCAGCAACGCCGCGUGCGGGAUGACGGCCUUCGGGUUGUAAACCGCUUUCGCCUGUGACGAAGCGUGAGUGACGGUAAUGGGUAAAGAAGCACCGGCUAACUACGUG